ACAUACACACGCACACACACACACACAUCCCUCGGCAGCGAUGGCAUGCGUUCAGCUGAUGCAUUUGGCGAAGCCCAGAGCAUCUGCUGAGAUAAACGAACACUUUCGACUUUGCUUCGCAGGAUGUGUGUGUGUGUAUGUGUGUGUGUGU
rnacentral:miRNA from 1 species